rnacentral:rRNA from 1 species
UACGUAGGGUGCAAGCGUUAUCCGGAAUCACUGGGCGUAAAGCGUGCGUAGGGGGCGUGUUAAGUGUGAUGUUAAAUCGUGUGGCUCAACCAUAUCGAUGUGUCGCAUACUGGCAUGCUAGAGGACAGCAGAGGCAAGUGGAAUUUGUAGUGUAGCAGUGAAAUGCGUAGAUAUUACAAGGAACACCAAUGGCGAAGGCAGCUUGCUGGGCUACUCCUGACACUGAGGUACGAAAGCGUGGGGAGCGAACAGG